CACACUCUCUGCCUUGACUGUGAAGGAUGUUGGCUCUAGGCAGAACUUCUUGGCAGUGUACUUGCCAGGCUUGAAAGCGAAUGCUUCGGUUCCUCCAUCGAUGGUUGGGCACUGGUUGGCAGUUCCGGUUCCCUUCACUUCCAAGUAGGUCUUGCUCUGGAUUUCGUCGAAGGUCAGCCUCUUUGGAGAUCCCUCUGCACCUGCUCCCUGAAAACACAAAUGGUGGCCAACAAUGACCAAAUUUCAAUCGCAAUUCAUCCCCAAAAAUGAAAUCCAACUAUCACUGGCAUAUGUUGUUGUCAGACUGUCAAUCCAAAAUGAACUAAUGAGAUUUAUAUCCAUACUAUAUGAAAUCAAAUGAUGCUACAUUAUAUUGUUAGAUUCUCAAUCCCAAUUAUCAGAUGAGCGUACGUCCAUAUGAUAUGCUAUUAUGAUUGUUAUCCUAACAACAUAACAUAUCAAAUAUCCGAAAUAGAGAACAUUACUCUCGUCUGUUGGGACGAUCCAGUUCUACAAAUUAAUGGAGAACAUGUGGAUAUUGCUAUAUAAUUGCACAUACAACUAGUCCAACUAAUGUUUACCCCCUAACUAUAGUCCAUAAGUAACUAGCAAGUACUACUUAACAUACAUUCACAAAAGGUCAAAUGCAAACAACUAAUCAUUGUUCAUCUUCUGCACCGAAAUUUCAAUCACAUGAAGCAAAAAACUGAGGAAUGAAAUGGAAUUAGC
rnacentral:lncRNA from 1 species